rnacentral:rRNA from 1 species
AGAACGAACGCUGGCGGCAGGCUUAACACAUGCAAGUCGAGCGGGUAGCAAUACCAGCGGCAGACGGGUGAGUAACACGUGGGAACCUUCCUAGAGGUACGGAACAACGCAGGGAAACUUGCGCUAAUACCGUAUGUGCUCUUGCGAGGAAAGAUUUAUCGCCUUUAGACGGGCCCGCGUCGGAUUAGCUAGUUGGUGGGGUAAUGGCCUACCAAGGCAACGAUCAGUAGCUGGUCUGAGAGGAUGAUCAGCCACACUGGGACUGAGACACGGCCCAGACUCCUACGGGAGGCAGCAGUAGGGAAUCUUGCGCAAUGGGCGAAAGCCUGACGCAGCCAUGCCGCGUGAAUGAUGAAGGUCUUAGGAUUGUAAAAUUCUUUCAGCGGGGACGAUAAUGACGGUACCCGCAGAAGAAGCCCGGCUAACUUCGCGCCAGCAGCCGC